rnacentral:rRNA from 1 species
UACGUAGGGUGCGAGCGUUGUCCGGAAUUACUGGGCGUAAAGAGCUCGUAGGUGGUUUGUCGCGUUGUUCGUGAAAACUCACAGCUUAACUGUGGGCGUGCGGGCGAUACGGGCAGACUGGAGUACUGCAGGGGAGACUGGAAUUCCUGGUGUAGCGGUGGAAUGCGCAGAUAUCAGGAGGAACACCGGUGGCGAAGGCGAGUCUCUGGACAUUUCCUGACGCUGAGGCACGAAAGCCAGGGGAGCAAACGGG